UACAGACGGUCCAAACGUUAUUCGGAAUCACUGGGCUUAAAGAGUUCGUAGGCGGUCAGGAAAGUGGGGUGUGAAAGCCCUCAGCUUAACCGAGGAAUUGCGCUCCAAACUCCCUGACUUGAGGAGGCUAGAGGUAAGCGGAACUGAUGGUGGAGCGGUGAAAUGCGUUGAUAUCAUCAGGAACACCGGAGGCGAAGGCGGCUUACUGGGGCCUUUCUGACGCUGAGGAACGAAAGCUAGGGGAGCGAACGGG
rnacentral:rRNA from 1 species